rnacentral:misc_RNA from 1 species
GCCAAAUAAGCCUCAUGUACUUCAGAACAAGGUGAGAAUUUCACUCUAGCAAAGGGUAAUUACACAAAUAUUAACGCCUCGCCGUAAACAAUUCCCAAGUUACCAUCGGAACAGCAAAAUACAAUACAUCAACCAGACAUGAGUUAACAAGACACCUUUAUGUUUAUGUUUUAUCUACUUUACACGUGUUCUCCAGUACAUGAGGCUUAUUUGGCCUGUGAGGGAUCAAGCACCUGGCCAAUGAACAGCACCAUUCCACUAAUGUCUUCUCUGAUCAAGAACAAGAAUGGAUGGUCAGCUACAAAGUCCAGUUUAUCAGCAAGCGUAAGACUUUCCAAGUUUACAACACCAGCAGAAGCCGCUGCAGCUUCUGUGCCUCCUUCAUUUACUUCGAUGAAGGAUUUAUGGAAUAUGCUUGAAACAUACAGGUUCUUACUAACGGAGGAGUCCACCAUCUCUGUCAAGUCUCCUUUGUCGGAGAAUGGCAACACCAGUCCUAAUCCUUUUAGAGUUUUGGAAGCUUCAAAUCCAAAGGAAACCUUAAACCUAGGAAUCCUGA